rnacentral:rRNA from 1 species
AUGGCCCGUUCCAUGGUUCUGCUCGACCGCGAGAUUGAUUUCACCCCCCACGAUGAGGCGCUAUCCGGCCGACAGUUCCGGUGGGGAUUCUGGGAAGGAAGAGGACUACAAACCCGCGAAGCCAGGAGUGAUGAAGUCAUCAAGUACCUGCGGACCUUCAAGGCCCGCGCAGUCGUCGACAAUCCGCCGGAGCUCUCCUUCCUCCACAUACUGGUGCCGCCGCAAUCCCUCCCGCUCCCGCCUCCAUUCAUGGACCUGGACUCGGGCCGCAUCUCCAGCACGGACAAGAACCUGGUCGCCCUUUACGCCGGCGGGUACCGCCCUGGCUCUAGUUUGUCGGGAGGCUAUCUCAUCUACGACGCCAGGAAGGACUCCCUCUCCGUCAUCCCCCGUCUCCCCUCCGACGACUUGCAUGGAGUCAUGGGGCACCAGUCGGCCGUCGUCAUGUGCGACGCCCAAGGGGAGGGCUACGUUCUUGCCGAGCUCAUCAAGAAAGGAUUCUCCCAGGCCGGGGUCUGGCUGUGGAAGUCGUCCGCCCCACAACCAGAAUGGGUCUCGUUACCCGGGAGCCAUCCCCUUCCAUCCAGCAGAUUCACCGUUGACUUGUGCUUCUCUUACCGGGGCUCUACCCUUUGCUGGGUGGAUCUGCUCAAAGGCAUGUUCCUCUGUGAUCUCAACCAAGACUGCGACAACAAGUUCAGCUUUAUCAAGCUGCCACUAGACUGUCCAGCCCUGGAUUGCAACUUAGAGGAGUCCAGCUUUAUCAACAAGUUCUGCACCCGCCCAGAGGAGUUCCGUUCCAUGGCCUGUGUUUGUGACCACAUCAAGCUUGUCUCCUUGGAUGAAUCUGGAUUGGAACUCUCGGUCUGGACUCUGUUGACUGAUCACUCAGACUGGAUCGAAACCUCCAAGUACAAUGUUGAUAAAAUCUGGGCAAACGUCAACUAUCAGUCUACUGUUUUGAGACAGCUUAUUCCGUCUCUUCCUGUCCUGAGCAUCCAUGAAGACGGGGUUGUCUACUUGGUCGUGAAUGAUGAAAGCAUCGUGGACCAUCGACUAGAUCAUAAAGGCCAGUAUUUGCUUCGUGUUGACAUGAAGAGUAACGAGAUCCAGAUCUCUCCACAGCCUACAAGGCGUAUUUGUUACCAACUCUUUGCCAGCGAGUUCAGUGCGUACCGACAGCAUUUACAGGAUUGA